AUGCUUCCCAAGCGCCCAGAUGUCGAGGCCCUUUCCAACUACCACCCCAUUAGCCUCGUUCACCUCAUUGCAAAGCUCUUCGUAGGGACACUACGUCUAGCGCCCAGACUUGGCGCCAUGGUUUCGACCAAUCAAAGAGCAUUCAUUGUCGGUCGGUGCAUCCACGACAACUUUCUGCUUGUCCAGCAAACGGUGCGUCUCCUGCACAACCUCAAGGUGACACACAUGCUUCUCAAGAUUGAUAUUGCGCGGGCCUUCGACAACGUCUUAUGGCCCUUCCUUCACGAGACCCUUCAACACCUUGGCUUUGGCCAACGAUGGCAUGAUUGGAUCUCGAUCCUCCUCUCCACCGCCUCCACGCGUGUCUUGAUCAACGGCCACCCGGGCCCUCCCAUUAGCCAUUCUUGCGACCUUCGACAGGGAGAUCCGGUAUCCCCGAUGCUAUUCACCAUCGUCAUCGACAUCUUGAACUCCAUGCUCAUCUGUGCAGUGGAGCUUGGUCUCAUCUACCGGCUGACCGCGCGGCAUGCGGCCUCGAGCAUCUCCUCUACGCUGAUGACCUCAUCAUUUUCUGCCGCUCAGAACAUCAGGACAUCUUGGCCGUCCGCGAGUUGA
rnacentral:rRNA from 1 species